CGAACGAGUAGACAGGAGCUUGCUCCUGGGUACUAGUGGCAGACGGGUGAGUAACGCGUGGGUAACCUACCUUGAAGCGGGGGAUACCAUUUCGAAAGGAAUGUUAAUACCGCAUAAUAUCAUUAGCCCCUUGGUGCUUUUAAUCAAAGUUGGGGACCGGGGAAACCCGGCCUGAUACUUUAAGAGGGACUCGCGUCGGAUUAGCUAGUUGGUGGGGUAACGGCUCACCAAGGCAACGAUCCGUAGCCGGCCUGAGAGGGUGAUC
rnacentral:rRNA from 1 species